GAUGAACGCUGGCGGCGUGCCUAAUACAUGCAAGUCGAGCGAACAGAUGAGGAGCUUGCUCCACUGACGUUAGCGGCGGACGGGUGAGUAACACGUGGAUAACCUACCUAUAAGACUGGGAUAACUUCGGGAAACCGGAGCUAAUACCGGAUAAUAUAUUGAACCGCAUGGUUCAAUAGUGAAAGACGGUUUUGCUGUCACUUAUAGAUGGAUCCGCGCCGCAUUAGCUAGUUGGUAAGGUAACGGCUUACCAGGGCAACGAUGCGUAGCCGACCUGAGAGGAUGAUCGGCCACACUGGAACUGAGACACGGUCCAGACUCCUACGGGAGGCAGCAGUAGGGAAUCUUCCGCAAUGGGCGAAAGCCUGACGGAGCAACGCCGCGUGAGUGAUGAAGGUCUUCGGAUCGUAAAACUCUGUUAUUAGGGAAGAACAAAUGUGUAAGUAACUAUGCACGUCUUGACGGUACCUAAUCAGAAAGCCACGGCUAACUACGUG
rnacentral:rRNA from 1 species